rnacentral:rRNA from 1 species
UAACACAUGCAAGUCGAACGAUGAAAUUAUGACGGAGGCUUCGGCCGACUGAAUAAUGGAUUAGUGGCGGACGGGUGAGUAACGCGUGAGUAACCUGCCUUUCAGAGAGGAAUAACAUUUGGAAACGAAUGGUAAUACCACAUAACAUUGCGGGAUCGCAUGAUUCUGUAAUCAAAGAUUUUAUCGCUGAGAGAUGGACUCGCGUCCGAUUAGCUGGAUGGUGAGGUAACGGCCCACCAUGGCGACGAUCGGUAGCCGGACUGAGAGGUUG